rnacentral:rRNA from 1 species
GUACACGAGCGGCGAACGGGUGAGUAACACGUGGGUGACCUGCCCUCAGCUCUGGGAUAAGCCUGGGAAACUGGGUCUAAUACCGGAUAUGACCUCUCAUCGCAUGGUGGGUGGUGGAAAGUUUUUCGGCUGGGGAUGGGCCCGCGGCCUAUCAGCUUGUUGGUGGGGUGAUGGCCUACCAAGGCGACGACGGGUAGCCGGCCUGAGAGGGCGACCGGCCACACUGGGACUGAGAUACGGCCCAGACUCCUACGGGAGGCAGCAGUGGGGAAUAUUGCGCAAUGGGCGAAAGCCUGACGCAGCGACGCCGCGUGGGGGAUGACGGCCUUCGGGUUGUAAACCUCUUUCGACCGGGACGAAGGGUGACUGACGGUACCGGUAGAAGAAGCACCGGCCAACUACGUGCCAGCAGCCGCGGUAAUACGUAGGGUGCGAGCGUUGUCCGGAAUUAUUGGGCGUAAAGAGCUCGUAGGCGGUGUGUCGCGUCGGUCGUGAAAACUUGGGGCUCAACCCUGAGCGUGCGGUCGAUACGGGCAUCACUUGAGUUCGGCAGGGGAGACUGGAAUUCCUGGUGUAGCGGUGAAAUGCGCAGAUAUCAGGAGGAACACCGGUGGCGAAGGCGGGUCUCUGGGCCGAUACUGACGCUGAGGAGCGAAAGCGUGGGGAGCGAACAGGAUUAGAUACCCUGGUAGUCCACGCCG